UGAGGAAUAUUGGACAAUGGGCGCAAGCCUGAUCCAGCCAUGCCGCGUGCAGGAUGACGGUCCUAUGGAUUGUAAACUGCUUUUGUACAGGAAGAAACAGUUCUACGUGUAGAACCUUGACGGUACUGUAAGAAUAAGGAUCGGCUAACUCCGUG
rnacentral:rRNA from 1 species